AUUAGUUUUAACGUGGACGUCAUGUGAGAAAUCAGCUUUGAUCUAAGAUAGUUUUUUAUGUCUAAUAGAUACGAUUAGUCUUGUACGAUCUGAUUGAUUUUGAUAGAAUUGUCAUUUAAAUAUUGCGCAGUUUCUGAAUAUUACUGCUAGCUGAGGUAAUCCAAUAGUUAAUAUCAUAGAAGAAAUUAAUUUUAAAAGAUUAUGUAAACUAGAAAUAUCGAUCGGGAUAGUGAGCGUAGUGUAGGAUGUCCAGGGGUAGGUCACCAUUUUACGAAAAGUAUGAUCGAAAAGUGAUCGGACCGCGCAUGCAUGUUGCUUACUCUGGGCUGCAUUGUUCGAAAGAGGGCCGCGCAGCUGCUCGAAAAUAGACAAGUCCAUUGUGGUGUGCGCGGAACGCGACAAUGGACGCUGAUGCAUGCCUGAAAUCGAUCGGGAAACUGACUCACGGGCACGGGCACGGGCACAGGGACGAUCCCAAACGCACCAUUAUUCCCAUAUCGACAAGGUCAUGACCUCCGGCAAGAAUCGUGACGCGACUACACGUAGCUCCACUCUUUCUUGUCUAUGGCGGGCAGGAGCAGGUCGUUGCCACUCGAUCGUCACACUACCAGACUCCAUGGACGUUAUGGCGGAAACGAUAUCAGUGAUAUAAAACAUGCACAAUGAGCAGAGGAGAUAUUGGUGAAGACUCACCGGUGCGAUCGAGUUGAUCCGAAGCGACGAUCGAAAAUCCAGUCGGUUAAUCGAGGGCCGGCGUCCCGCCGUGCCGAUGCACUGAGAAGUUUCAAACACUUUCUGAUUGGUACACCAGCGUAAAUUCACACGAGUUACGUGAUCGAGUCAAUCUCAUAAUCGCAACACAGUCCUCAGCUACGAACAUACACUGAAUUUGUUUUUAAAUUAAAACGACACGACGGCGCGCCGAACACGACACUUAAAUGCCAAACUAUCGUAGCAACGGGUGCUUCGUUACUGCGUUACGGUGUACCAAGGUUCAUUGUGUGCUCGCCUUUCUGCUUGGUGAUUGGUGGAGGGGAUGAUGGAGGACAGAUGGUAGUCACGGAGGUUACCGGCAAACAUCAAGCAGCACCGAGUCUGAUUCAUCCUUGCCUCGUAAGAUGGUGCAU